UACGUAGGGUGCAAGCGUUAAUCGGAAUUACUGGGCGUAAAGGGCUCGUAGGUGGCCAACUAAGUCAGACGUGAAAUCCCUCGGCUUAACCGGGGAACUGCGUCUGAUACUGGAUGGCUUGAGUUUGGGAGAGGGAUGCGGAAUUCCAGGUGUAGCGGUGAAAUGCGUAGAUAUCUGGAGGAACACCGGUGGCGAAGGCGGCAUCCUGGACCAACACUGACACUGAGGAGCGAAAGCCAGGGGAGCAAACGGG
rnacentral:rRNA from 1 species